CGCCGGGGCAAGUGCGAGCCGGCCGGGCGCUGGGUGACUGUGUGCUCGCUGAGGGAAAGUAAUUACACAUGGGCAAAGGAGAUCCUAAGAAGCCGAGAGGCAAAAUGUCAUCGUAUGCCUUCUUUGUGCAAACUUGCCGGGAGGAACACAAGAAGAAGCACCCAGAUGCUUCCGUCAACUUCUCAGAGUUUUCUAAGAAGUGCUCAGAGAGGUGGAAGACCAUGUCUGCUAAGGAGAAAGGAAAAUUUGAAGACAUGGCAAAGGCGGACAAGGCUCGUUACGAGAGAGAAAUGAAAACUUAUAGUCCUCCCAAAGGGGAAACAAAAAAGAAAUUCAAGGAUCCCAAUGCACCCAAGAGGCCUCCUUCGGCCUUUUUCUUGUUUUGUUCUGAGUAUCGCCCAAAAAUCAAAGGGGAGCAUCCUGGCCUAUCCAUUGGUGACGUUGCAAAGAAGCUGGGAGAGAUGUGGAAUAACACUGCUGCAGAUGACAAGCAGCCUUAUGAAAAGAAGGCUGCUAAGCUGAAGGAGAAAUAUGAAAAGAUAUUGUUGCAUACCGAGCUAAAGGAAAGCCUGAUGCUGCCAAAAAGGGAGUUGUCAAGGCUGAAAAAAGCAAGAAAAAGAAGGAAGAGGAAGAAGAUGAGGAAGAUGAAGAAGAUGAUGAUGAAUAAGUUGGUUCUAGUGCAGUUUUUUUUUCUUGUCUAUAAAGCAUUUAACCCCCCUGUACACAACUCACUCCUUUUAAAGAAAAAAAUUAAAAUGUAAGGCUGUGUAAGAUUUGUUUUUAAACUGUACAUUGUCUUUUUUUGUAUAGUUAACACACUACCGAAUGUGUCUUUAGAUAGCCCUGUCCUGAUGGUAUUUUCAAUAGCCACUAACCUUGCUUGGUACAGUAUGGGGGUUGUAAAUUGGCAUGGAAAUUUAAAGCAGGUUCUUGUUGGUGCACAGCACAAAUUAGUUAUAUAUGGGGAUGGUAGUUUUUCAUCUUCAGUUGUCUCUGAUGCAGCUUAUACGAAAUAAUUGUUGUUCUGUUAACUGAAUACCGCUCUGUAAUUGCAAAAAAAAAAAAAAGUUGCCGCUGUUUUGUUGAUAUUCUGAAUGCUUCUAAGUAAAUACAAUUUUUUUUAUUAAAAAAAAA